rnacentral:rRNA from 1 species
GAUGAACGCUGGCGGCGUGCCUAAUACAUGCAAGUCGAGCGAACGGACGAGAAGCUUGCUUCUCUGAUGUUAGCGGCGGACGGGUGAGUAACACGUGGAUAACCUACCUAUAAGACUGGGAUAACUUCGGGAAACCGGAGCUAAUACCGGAUAAUAUUUUGAACCGCAUGGUUCAAAAGUGAAAGACGGUCUUGCUGUCACUUAUAGAUGGAUCCGCGCUGCAUUAGCUAGUUGGUAAGGUAACGGCUUACCAAGGCAACGAUGCAUAGCCGACCUGAGAGGGUGAUCGGCCACACUGGAACUGAGACACGGUCCAGACUCCUACGGGAGGCAGCAGUAGGGAAUCUUCCGCAAUGGGCGAAAGCCUGACGGAGCAACGCCGCGUGAAUGAUGAAGGUCUUCGGAUCGUAAAACUCUGUUAUUAGGGAAGAACAUAUGUGUAAGUAACUGUGCACAUCUUGACGGUACCUAAUCAGAAGGCCACGGCUAACUACGUG